rnacentral:rRNA from 1 species
UUAUUUGAAACAGGGCACAACCUAGAAUUAAGGGUAAGUAACAUCACUACCUUCAAAGUAGGCCUGAAAGCAGCCAUCUUUAAAAAAGCGUUAAAGCUUAAUCUCCCAUCAAACCCCAAAUACCAUUCCCUGCUGCGAACCCUUCACCCGUACUGAAUGACCCUAUACUUUUAUAGGAGACAUAAUGCUAAAACUAGUAACAAGAAGUAGACCUUCUCCACAAUGUAAACAUAAGCCAAACCGGACCAACCAUUGGCCACUAACGUAUAUGAAUCUCCUAUAGUAACGCUCUCUCAAGAAAAACCUAUUCACCCUCAACGUUAACCUAACACAAGUACAUUUCUGGAAAGAUUAAAAGAAAAAGAAGGAACUCGGCAAAUCUAGACCCCGCCUGUUUACCAAAAACAUCGCCUCUUGUCACCCAUAAGAGGUCCAGCCUGCCCAGUGAUACAAUUAAACGGCCGCGGUACUCUGACCGUGCGAAGGUAGCAUAAUCACUUGUUCUUUAAUUAAGGACUAGCAUGAACGGCAUCACGAGGGCCUUACUGUCUCCUUUCUCCAAUCAGUGAAACUGAUCUCCCCGUGAAGAAGCGGGGAUUAUACUAUAAGACGAGAAGACCCCAUGGAGCUUUAAACCCAACAGACAACCCUUAGCCCCUCACCCCCAAAACUUUUAGGCCCUGUCUGCUGGUUUUAGGUUGGGGUGACCGCGGAGUAAAACUUAUCCUCCACAAUGUAUGGGACUCCUCCCCUUAUCCACGAGCCACUGCUCUAAGAAUCAACAAAUUGACAACAAAUGAUCCAAUUUUCUGAUCAAUGAACCAAGUUACCCUGGGGAUAACAGCGCAAUCCAUUUUAAGAGCCCUUAUCGACAAAUGGGUUUACGACCUCGAUGUUGGAUCAGGGUACCCAAGUGGUGCAGCCGCUACUAACGGUUUGUUUGUUCAACAAUUAAAACCCU